CGUAGGUGGCAAGCGUUGUCCGGAAUUAUUGGGCGUAAAGCGCGCGCAGGCGGUUCCUUAAGUCUGAUGUGAAAGCCCCCGGCUCAACCGGGGAAGGUCAUUGGAAACUGGGGAACUUGAGUGCAGAAGAGAAGAGCGGAAUUCCACGUGUAGCGGUGAAAUGCGUAGAGAUGUGGAGGAACACCAGUGGCGAAGGCGGCUCUUUGGUCUGUAACUGACGCUGAGGCGCGAAAGCGUGGGGAGCAAACAGGAUUAGAUACCCUGGUAGUCCACGCCGUAAACGAUGAGUGCUAAGUGUUAGAGGGUUUCCGCCCUUUAGUGCUGCAGCUAACGCAAUUAAGCACUCCGCCUGGGGAGUACGGCCGCAAGGCUGA
rnacentral:rRNA from 1 species